UCAGCCCUAACACAUGCAAGUCGAACGGUAACAGGUUAAGCUGACAAAUGGCGAACGGGUGAGUAAUGCAUCGGAACGUGCCCGGUCGUGGGGGAUAACACUUCGAAAGAAGUGCUAAUACCGCAUACGAUCUGAGGAUGAAAGCGGGGGACGGUAAGGCCUCGCGCGAUCGGAGGGGCCGAUGUCAGAUUAGGUAGUUGGUGGGGGAAAGGCCUACCAAGCCGACGAUCUGUAGCUGGUCUGAGAGGACGACCAGCCACACUGGGAGGGGGACACGGCCCAGACUCCUACGGGAGGCAGCAGUGGGGAAUUUUGGACAGAUGGG
rnacentral:rRNA from 1 species